CACAUUACAGGGGAUUUCUUCAAAGCAUAUAUAUUAUCCAUUGUAUAUUUCAAAUAAUAUGUUUAGUCAUUGUUAACUUUCCUUAUUUUUCAGUGAAAAGAAAUAUUCAGACAAUAUUUUUUUUGGCAACAAUUACUACUUGCUUGUGACGUCACUAUCCAGCAACACGUUAAAACAGAAGCAAGUGUCUACACAUCACUGAACUGAUAAAGAAAUGAUUAAUUCGAUAGAAGACCUUGAUCACAACCCUCCAAAACGAAGGAAGGUGACUGAACAAUAUCUCACCGAUAAAGAAAUGCCUAUAGCAAUGGAAGAUUUUGAACGUACCGAUGUGACGGGACUUGGAAGAACAAGACUUAGAGAGGAGGAUUUAUGAUGUUUAGAGCGUGUUGUUACACCAAGAUUAAUAAUAUAUGAUGUUUCAUUCAUUAAAAAGAGAAAUGUUUAAUAAAAAUUUUUAAGACAUGAUGAAGUUUUAAAUCAAUCAAACCUUACCAUGAAAAAAAGUAUUGAGGUAGAAUACAAAUGUUAUAUCUCAUUUAAGUUAAU